AGUGAAGCGGCAACAGCUCAAAUUUGAAAUCUGGCUCUCGGGCCCGAGUUGUAAUUUGUAGAGGAUGCUUUUGGUGAGGUGCCUUCCGAGUUCCCUGGAACGGGACGCCAUAGAGGGUGAGAGCCCCGUCUGGUUGGACACCGAUCCUCUGUAAAGCUCCUUCGACGAGUCGAGUAGUUUGGGAAUGCUGCUCUAAAUGGGAGGUAUAUGUCUUCUAAAGCUAAAUACCGGCCAGAGACCGAUAGCGCACAAGUAGAGUGAUCGAAAGAUGAAAAGAACUUUGAAAAGAGAGUUAAAAAGUACGUGAAAUUGUUGAAAGGGAAGCGCUUGUGACCAGACUUGGGCUUGGUUGAUCAUCCGGGGUUCUCCCCGGUGCACUCUUCCGGCUCAGGCCAGCAUCAGUUCGCCCUGGGGGAUAAAGGCUUCGGGAAUGUGGCUCUCUCCGGGGAGUGUUAUAGCCCGCUGCGUAAUACCCUGUGGCGGACUGAGGUUCGCGCAUUCGCAAGGAUGCUGGCGUAAUGGUCAUCAGUGACCCGUCUUGAAACACGGACCAAGGAGUCGACUUCGUAUGCGAGUGUUCGGGUGUCAAACCCCUACGCGAAAUGAAAGUGAACGCACGUGAGAGCUUCGGCGCAUCAUCGACCGAUCCUGAUGUUAUCGGAUGGAUUUGACUAAGAGCAUACGGGGCCCGCACCCAAUAGAAUGCGAACUAUGCCUGUGUAGGCUGAAUUCAAAACAAACUCUGGAGGAAGAUCACACCGGUACUGACGCGCAAGCGCAUCGCUCAACAUGGCCAUGGGGGUGAAAGACUAGUCUAACCUACUACCCGUAGAUACCGCCUACCUUACCCCAUGAUCCCCAGGUCGAACUGAUUCUUUUCAUGUAAAGCAAAUGGUUACGGAGUAGAGCCCCGUAUUUAGACUUAAUCCAUUCCCGACUCUAAGGAUUCACUAGCACUUUUCCUAAUUGAUGACUUCUUUCAAGGAUCUUACUAUUGGACAUUUUGGUAGCCAAAUGGGGGUCGGGCAGAACUGACCUUAGAAAA
rnacentral:rRNA from 1 species